rnacentral:rRNA from 1 species
AUUGAACGCUGGUGGCAUGCUUAACACAUGCAAGUCGAACGGUAACAGGUCUUCGGAUGCUGACGAGUGGCGGACGGGUGAGUAACGCGUAGGAAUCUGCCCAUUUGAGGGGGAUACCAGUUGGAAACGACUGUUAAUACCGCAUAAUAUCUGUGGAUUAAAGGUGGCUUAGGCUGCCGCAGAUGGAUGAGCCUGCGUUGGAUUAGCUAGUUGGUGGGGUAAGGGCCUACCAAGGCUACGAUCCAUAGCUGAUUUGAGAGGAUGAUCAGCCACAUUGGGACUGAGACACGGCCCAAACUCCUACGGGAGGCAGCAGUGGGGAAUAUUGGACAAUGGGGGAAACCCUGAUCCAGCAAUGCCGCGUGAGUGAAGAAGGCCUCGGUUGUAAGACUCUUUCAGUCGAGAAGAAAAGGAC